rnacentral:lncRNA from 1 species
GAAAACACUGAGAUAACCAACUAUGAUAAACUGCAGUUGGAAUUUAACGACCCAGUGGAUGGGAAACAAAGGGAAGAAAUGAGACUUGAAAAAACAAACAAACAGGGAGAUCAAGUGAAGGGUGGGCAGACCUCUAUUUGACUGAUGCUUGCUCCCUUUGAAGGCCACUGUCACACCACUUGGGGAAAAAUUGGAAAUCAGACACACGAGUGUGGCUUUGUUUUCCUGGAGCUCCUCAGGGGAAGGUGGAAACAUGGUUACUUCAAAAUGGUCCACCUCCCCUAGCCACUGUGGAGAAAUCUAAGGAUUCAGUUCUUAAGUCUGAGGAGAGCAGAUGAGAAAAGCUUUCCAGAGAGAUAAAUGACCCUUGCAAGAUAACAAGGCCUGGACUUAUUAGGAAGAAGCAUUAAAGCCACUUACCUAGGACAGUGACCUUGGUUCCACUGCCGAAAAUAAACCACAGUGACUGAAACCCAACCCUAAACCUGUGGGGCAAGCACCUGGGCCUGUUCUCUCACAGCUGCACUGAAUCAAACUACUAGCUAGCUACAAUGGGUGGAGCUGUGACCUCACUUGAAGUGGGUGAUAAUCCUUUUAUAGGCUUGUCUUCUUGUCAGGCAAGUACCCCACGGAGUUGAUUCAAUACCAUGUACUCUCAGCCAUUCUAAUAUCAAAUAAAAUUGACUUCCAACCCAAA